UUCGAGUGUGCGGGCGGAUUGGGCUGCGUUACUGCUGACUGUGUGUGUGCAUCUGUUUUAGCCCAUGUAUGUCCGAAGACAGGCCGAAGGACGGAGGUGACAACGACGCCAUAAAUAUGGUAACUCCAGCCGUUGCAGAGGACGCGUCUUCCAUAUACAGUUCCGAAAAAUCCCCCUCUGGUGCAAAAGCUUCGAAACCCUAGAUCAUGAGCAUGUCGAACUCCUCGUACACAAGAUCGACGGCUGGUUCAGCUCGCCGGCAGAGCCACGCUCCGGUGCCGUACCGGCAAGCUCCUUUGGCAUACGAGCCGGCAAAGUACUGCGUGUGCGCUCCGAGGGCGAAAGCGCCGACCCAGGAAGAAGAUACCUUGCUUGUCCGAGGGGGAGGUCUUUCGGGUGUGGUUUUUUUUCAGUGGGUGGACGAUGAAACAAGCCCCUUCCUCACUCAGUUGCUGCUUGAUCUGAGGAAUGCUGUGUGGGCUCUAGAAGCACACAACAGAAUACUUGAUCGCAACGUGCAUGGCUGGCGCAGCCCAAACCAGGAGCAUAUUGAAGGAACUGCAUCGACUUGGGUUCAACCGUUAGAUUUCCUUACUACUGAAGAGAAUCAAGAUGAGAGCAUCCUCCUGACAAUUGCAAGGCUGAAGCACCAGCGUCGCUUGCUAGUAUUGACACUGGUGGCUUGCCUAGUGAUCGGAGCCAGCGUCUUGUUCCAUCUGGGGCAGUGAAGGAGAUGACUAUGUUUCAAUAUGUUUGCGAUCAUCGUCAUCUGUUUAUGGAACCUUUCUAAAGUGUGGUGUGCCUGUGUAUCUGCUAUUAUGGUUAGAACUAUGCUACUUCAGUAUUAAUUAAUAUGUUUUCUAUCAAUGUAACCGUGUGAACGAACUUUGAAUUUCAUGUAUGUUGGGUGCCAAAAUUUGUAUGA